rnacentral:tRNA from 1 species
GCACGGUUAGCCAAGCGGCCCAAGCGGCGGUCUGCAAAACCGCAGAGACCGGUUCGACUCCGGUACCGUGCU